CAGGAAUUGGGUCAGAAUUGUCUAAACAAGGGUGUGUGGUGAGGGUGUGGGGAACCAGGGUUGAGACGUUGAGGAAAGCAUAAUCUACCAUGUCUGAAUAUCAAAGACAAUUUAAGUCAGAGCACCAUCACAGUGGAAUUCUGAAGGGACUGUUUUGGGCUACCAGCCAUGAUUUUUUAAUUUCUAUUUUGACACCUAGAAACUGUGGGAUUGAACAUGACAUCAAGGUUACUUCUGUUCCUUUUAUUGCUCUGGAUUAAGACAUGGAUGCAGGUUCAACAUGCUGCUGACACCAACUUCCCUCAGCAUCUGCCACAUGAAUUGGUCUUCUAAUCAAGACACAUUUUUUUGACUUUUAACAGCCUACACAUCUGAAUUAAUAGUUUAUAUCAGCCAUGUUCUUAAGAAAAAUAUUUUAAGUAAGAACAACUGUUCCCUAAAUGACCAAUUUUAUGGCCAAAUUGGUCAUUACAUGCAGGACAAGAGAUUUUUGGAUUUUUUGUUUGCCUUUUAAGUUUGCAUAAAGCCUUUGAACACAUGCAUGGCAACUUACCAAAACUGAGACUUUCUUCAGAUCUGCUGGAACUCUGACCUUUCAAUUUUGACCUGGAAAAAAGUCAUCAUGCCCCAUACAAUGCCCUCAAGAUCACCCUGUCAUGAUAAUGAUGAUGAUACCAUUUUACAUCUAUACUACUGUGCUUAUAUUUUGUUCUAUAUUAGUGUACUGUAUUAGCUCCAUCACUGUCUAUAUGACAUUGGGAAAUGAAAGCUAAAAACUGAUCCCAGAUUUUUAAACCAGUGUAUUGUGAACACCACAAGUGGAUAAAAUGUCCUAAAAUACAAACUAAAAUAUGUAGUCCUUUUCAUAAUUGUUUUAUCUAGAAUAUUGUAAUGUAAGCAGUCACUGUAUGUAUUGUUCAUUAUGUAUGUGAACACCUUUUAAUACGGACUGACCAACUGUAGCUGGGGUUUAAAGUGAAACAUACAAGCAGGGGCAAGCAAGAACUUACUGUAAGAUCCAACUGUGUUUUUGUUGUCUGAAGUUCAGACAUAAACUCCCUGUGUACAUGUUAAUGUCUGAUGUGAUUUGGGGAGUAAAAUGAUCUGGAAACACAGAGGGCUUCAAAUACAGUAAGUACUUAGAAACGUUAGUAAUGUAAACUGAGCUCAUUUUUAUAUUUAAGCUAAAGUUAAAUGAUCAUGUAAUGUUGAUAUGUCUAAGCUAGCAAGUAUUAAUAUUUUGAGUUUAACAUUUUUUAUUAUUUAAGUCAUUAUGUAGCCUGUCUUUAAAUGUAGUAGAUUACACUGCUCUAAACUGUCCUUGUCAAAAAAAAUGUCUUGUUAUUUUAAAGUCUUUUCUCUGUUGCUGUGUUGUGUUUAACCAGUGUUUUGCAGCUAUCUGAAAGGAAGGUUCUGACCAUGGUGCAUGUUUAAUAAACACUAGCUGACUUUG